UUCUAUUACCAAGCACCCCACUACUCCCUUAACUUUCCGCGUCCCUUCGCCCAACUCCAUAUGCUUCAGAAGGUUCCCCAGAACACAUUUGCAUAUAGAGUCUCUACUCUCUUACGCUCCCUUGUCCAUCUCGUAUGGAUGCUACAGCUCCCACAAGUACUUAUUCUGCUACGACUGCUUCUAACUCCGGAAAUCGUCCUCAAUCAUCAACCCCAGUUCGCUACUUCCGUUGCUCUUGCUUCAGGCGCUGCUGUCGCUGCUUCUGCUGCUUCUACUCCUUCCCUUAAUCACAAAUCAAUUGAGAAAACUCUGAUUCUUGAUCUUUCUGCCUUUAAGCAGCUUUGGUGCUGAAAUUGCUGGGAGUUGGUUUCACUAGUUAAGCCACACUUCGGAGAGGAAGAAUAAUGUUCUUAUUCAAAGUUCUAGUUUUUGAUAUACUGUAUUGAUGCUCAUCUAAUUGCUCAUAUAGCAUUUGAAUUAUGUUGAUAGUGGCACAUUGAAUUCCAGUGAUGCCUUGAGGAUGGUAAAAUGCUGAUUUUGCACCACUUUUGCAUAAUCAGUACCAGAGAAGCUCACUACGCUGCAAGUAUGCGAGGCGUCUGCAUCAAGACUACAUAGAUGGCGUAAAAAUUUAUCUAAGCAGCAGGAUUGGCAGUCUUAUGUGUUUCUCUUCCAUUAGACAUCUAAAAAUGUAGUUUAAAAACCAUAUAUAACAUGUAAUCUUGCUUUUUGUGGAUCAGAGAUUACUACCAUUGUAAAGGUUACCUGCUUAGUUUCCUUCUAUGCAUCAUGUAUGAAGUUGUCAGGCCCCACUUUAGGCAUUUGGCCAUGAUUGAAAUUGUCAACAUGUUAGAUGCAUAGGAUAGCAGCUAUUAGUUUUCAAAUUUGUCGUCCUUCAAUUCACCAUAUAGUUGCUACAAGUUUUCUGUUACACCUACAAGUUGUAAACAAGUCUGCAUAUUCUCUAGAACACGAUGAAUACAAUUACCAAUGAGAAUCUCCUUCUGGCAGCG